rnacentral:rRNA from 1 species
GAUGAACGCUGGCGGCGUGCCUAAUACAUGCAAGUAGAACGCUGAAGCUUGGUGCUUGCACCGAGCGGAUGAGUUGCGAACGGGUGAGUAACGCGUAGGUAACCUGCCUGGUAGCGGGGGAUAACUAUUGGAAACGAUAGCUAAUACCGCAUAACAGUCGACAUUGCAUGAUGUUGAUUUGAAAGGGGCAAUUGCUCCACUACCAGAUGGACCUGCGUUGUAUUAGCUAGUUGGUGAGGUAACGGCUCACCAAGGCGACGAUACAUAGCCGACCUGAGAGGGUGAUCGGCCACACUGGGACUGAGACACGGCCCAGACUCCUACGGGAGGCAGCAGUAGGGAAUCUUCGGCAAUGGACGGAAGUCUGACCGAGCAACGCCGCGUGAGUGAAGAAGGUUUUCGGAUCGUAAAGCUCUGUUGUAAGAGAAGAACGAGUGUGAGAGUGGAAAGUUCACACUGUGACGGAACUACCAGA